rnacentral:rRNA from 1 species
AUUGAACGCUGGCGGCAGGCCUAACACAUGCAAGUCGAACGGUAACAGGAAGAAGCUUGCUUCUUUGCUGACGAGUGGCGGACGGGUGAGUCAUGUCUGGGAAACUGCCCGAUGGAGGGGGAUAACUACUGGAAACGGUAGCUAAUACCGCAUAACGUCGCAAGACCAGAGAGGGGGACCUUCGGGCCUCUUGCCAUCGGAUGUGCCCAGAUGGGAUUAGCUAGUAGGUGGGGUAACGGCUCACCUAGGCGACGAUCCCUAGCUGGUCUGAGAGGAUGACCAGCCACACUGGAACUGAGACACGGUCCAGACUCCUACGGGAGGCAGCAGUGGGGAAUAUUGCACAAUGGGCGCAAGCCUGAUGCAGCCAUGCCGCGUGUAUGAAGAAGGCCUUCGGGUUGUAAAGUACUUUCAGCGGGGAGGAAGGGAGUAAAGUUAAUACCUUUGCUCAUUGACGUUACCCGCAGAAGAAGCACCGGCUAACUCCGUG